rnacentral:rRNA from 1 species
GACGAACGCUGGCGGCGUGCCUAAUACAUGCAAGUCGAGCGAAUGACGAGAAGCUUGCUUCUCUGAUUUAGCGGCGGACGGGUGAGUAACACGUGGGCAACCUGCCCUACAGAUUGGGAUAACUCAGGGAAACCUGGACUAAUACCGGAUAAUCCUUCGAAUCACAUGUUUUGAAGUUGAAAGGCGCUUCGGCGUCACUGUAGGAUGGGCCCGCGGUGCAUUAGCUAGUUGGUGGGGUAACGGCCUACCAUGGCAACGAUGCAUAGCCGACCUGAGAGGGUGAUCGGCCACAUUGGGACAGAGAAACUGCCCAAACUCCGACGGGAGGCAGCAGUAGGGAAUCUUCCGCGAUGGACGAAAGUCUGAUGGAGCAACGCCGCGUGAGUGAUGAAGGUUUUCGGAUCGUAAAACUCUGUUGUAAGGGAAGAACAAAUGUGUAAGUAACUGUGCACAUCUUGACGGUACCUAAUCAGAAAGCCACGGCUAACUACGUGCCAGCCGCCGCCGUAA